UCCACCCCAACCCACAUCCGAUCACACUCACCCCUCUUCAAGCCACCCACCCACCCAUCACCGUUACAUCACCCGCCCCCCAGUUUCUCCAGCUCAUGUUUAGUGGGCUGGCAGGAGGUAAAUACGCAGAUAAGUGAUUGUGCACAGCGCACACCCUUGCGUGGCGGAGGAGCCGAUGGGACGAGGUGACGACGGGAGAGCGGUGACCACGGCUGCCUGACGCCGUGGCCACCCAUCGUUCUGGCCACCACCGCGUGGCCCCGAGUGUCGAUGAUGACGUGGAGGACGACAAUCGCAGGACGCGUCGCACGGACGAUCGCUAAACAUCUUGGGGGCACGAAGAAGAGCACGCCGGCUCCGCGAAUCCCCCAGUAGACGGAUUUUCCAAUGGGAUGCCUCAAGUCCAAAAACCACUACUCGGUGCACCAGAACUCGCCGGGGAUGGAGAAGUCCCGCACGAGCAGUCGCAUCGCCACCGACGCCACCGACGCUGACCACCACCAGCAACAGCAGCAGCAGGCAUCAGAUUCUGGCGCUGCGCUCGAGAGGGCCCACAAGCCGUCGUCCCCAGCCGUGGAGCCGCACGUGGUCGGCUUCGCCCAGAAGCUCUCCGAGCAGAUCAUGGCUGGGGCCAUGCGGCAGAGUGCGCAAAUCGACCGCUGCUACCACGACAUUCCCUACAUCGAGAACGGUUGACGCUCCGAGGUGUAGACGGAGACUAUUGCGUUGUCCACGUAGGUCAAGCGCUGCCUUUAAUUUGUUCCCCGUGAAAAUGGCAUACUGAAUCGCUUGAGAGUACGCCUUUUAUUGUAGUAUCCGUGCAGCCAGUUUUAAUCUCGAACAACCGUAAGCCAGUGUUGUAUUGUCAGGUCCCACCGCUCUCAGUGUUACUGCUCAGUAUGUUCUUGUAGAGGCUCUUGCGUUUGACUCGUGCCUGUGUUUUGACUAAUACGCUGUUGUGUUGCGCGUGUUAUAUUAUCACUCUGCAGAUCAGAUUGUACCCGAUAAGAGUUAAUAUCUCGAAUGCUGCACAGUGCUGUGUAGCAUUAACGGAGUUGGCACUGUUAUGAAAAGAGCUUGAGCAUGAUAAUAUUUGAGGUUUACAAAAAGUGUUUUUUUUUUAUCCAGACAUUAUUGACUGAACUGUGGGCCGGCCACCCAAUGAAUAAAUCCAAACUUAGAUCAGGAAUUUUAGAGAACACAGUAUUUUUUUCAUGCGACUUUGUCCCUCCCCCCACGACAUUGCCGAACACACCAUCGGCCAAAUUCACGUUUUAGUAAGAAGGGCAGUUUCCGCCAAUAUUUGUUUGAAAAGAUAAGCAAUUAUUGAUAGCUUCUGUUUAUGCAGUUUCUACUGACAAUGAGCAGAACAUGUUUUUCCCUAAACAACAUGAAAUUAGCGCUAUAUCUGCACAUGUCGGGUGCAGUAUGCGCGUGUGGCUUUGUAUUUGACUUAGUGGCAUAGCUAUCGAGUAAGCAAGUGGCGCGCAACUACACCAGAGCCCAUCAGGCCAGAGGGGCCAAGGCGCCAGGCUACGAUGAGAAGGGGAAAUUGGACAGAGGGGGCACAUUUCAUUUCUAGUAUCUUGGCACAAUAUUUCUACCAUUGAACACUCAUGUUCCCAAUGUUCAAUUAUCACGGAAAGACGUUCUCAAUGAAAAAGUGACUAAAGAUGUAUCAUAUGGGGCCAUCCAUUUAGUACCUACGCAAUAAAAUCUAUCAAAACUUGACCCCCCCCCCACCUGCGUACGUACGCUUGACGCACCCCCCCCCCCCGAAUCCUAUAGAACGGCCGAUAUUUAAUCCAUGCAUAAACGAUCAAGGAUUAUAAUAUUAACGUGUUUAAGCAAACAAAUAGUCCACCGCCGCACUAUCUUAACUCAUUUGAAGGCCAAUGUAGACAAAUUAUUAUCAAGGCUUCACCGCCCCCCGUCUCCUAUGCGUACGUACAUUGUCAGUAGACCCCCCAUAUGCAAACGUAGGCAUUUGGGUUAACCCCCCCCCCUCCAUGCGUACGUACAGUACUAAAUGGAUGGCCCCUAUUCAAUUAGGUGUUUUCAGGGUGCAGUAUACAGUGAACACUAAAAGUAUUGCAUAAUAAUGGUUUACAGCCCUUUGUCAAUCCACUGCUGGAUGAAAGCCUCCUUGCGUUGUGUAAGUUAUGGGGGUUGUUUGACCACACUGGUCAAUAUGGGUUGGUGACGUUAGGUGGGAGGGGGCCAAGGAGCAGUUUAGAUAUCACUUGCCAUUGAUGUUAGUCGUGGCUGGGAAUUUAACUUAGGUAUGGGCCUGUAACCACUACACGUCCCUUUUCUGCCUCAUCUUGAAAUACAACAACGAUUUUACAGGACGCCAUCAGUGAUUGCUAUACCUCCCAAAACAACUCACUUUUUGUAAUUCAUAAUCAGCUUCUUUUGGGUUAGAUCAUGAAGGUGUAAUGCCCAUACCCUCCGCCACCCGACAGAGCCAAGCAAAUCAAGUUGUUACGUGGGAAUUAUGCCAAUUGAUAAGGGUUGUUAGCAAAACUGGAAGUGGAAAAGCUAUUUUUUUUAUUCUUUAAAAUAAUUUUCAUGCGACAUUUCGCUGGAGAUUACAUCCACAUAAUUAUCAGGCGUUAACAGAAGCUCAGCUCUCACGUGGCUCAUAAUAUUGGUUAUGAACCAUAAUAUUGGUCGUGCAAGCCUAUGUUUCAAAUAAACUCAAUUAUUGGUAUAUUAUUAUAAUGAAGACAUGUAGAUGUAUUUGUUUAUGAAAUAAACAGAGUACAUUGGAAUGAAAUGGGACGGAGCGGGCGGCGGUGGCACAGUGGUAGGUACACCGUGCUAAUAAUUAUCUAGCGACCUACGUUCGAUUCCCAGCCACGGGUAAAGUCAGUGGUGAGUAAUAUCAUUCGUAAGAGCAGGCCACUGUGUUCCAUGGUUCAAAGUUGCCAAAUUUGAAAAUGUACCUGCAAAUAACUCGGUUGGGAUUAAACAAUAACUUGGCAGGACCCAUGAGACUCAGUCAGGCUUUCCGGGGUAAACAAGCACGAUAAUACCAGUCCCGAUCACCCCACUUGCCACCCACACCCUUCACUAACAUACACAGACCAGCAGCACUUUAGAGCUCAGUCAAACAACCCCAACAACACUUCAACAAGAAGUGGAUUGCCAAAGGGCUGUAGAUUAUUAUUGUUAUAAGGCAUUACCUUAUAAGCGUAGAGGUGAUGGUUGGAGUCAGUGUGGAUGGGAAUUAAAUAUCUAAAUUGCACAUUCCAAUGACGCGUGUGCUGUUGUCUCGGACAGCCAUGAAGACCUCAUAGGAAAUGGCUGUGCACGAGUUAUAUUUAUUUAACAGACCUGGCCACGAAGGUAAUAGCAUUUCGUUUUAAAAAGGUGAAACCCUUCUGCUCCAUGUAGUUUAUGCGUGCGUGGUCCUUACCCUUACGUAUUCGGAGCGUAGAUUAUUGAUUUAUUGUUGCUAUGUCGAUUCUUAAUGCUCGAGAUACACGUGCAGUGAAUGGCGUGUGCAGGGAUUGAUGUUUUGAUGUCGGUCAUUAAAUGCGUAAUGUUACAUUUAGCCUCAUGAAGCAAACCAAACUGUAGCAAACAAGGCAGAGAGAAAACCCGAAACUAUAGAAAGAACGCAGUAAAGCGAGACAACAAAAUAGGUGAUGCUUGAAUUGAAUCGUGGUUCUGAAUAGCAACAAUUCAUAUUGCAUUUCUAGGGGGUGGAAUAAUCCCACGCAUUAGUGUGCCAACGCUCAAUCCUAUAUCUCGUCAUUGAUUUUGUGACUUAAAAAAACCAGCCUGAUAAGACGGCAAUAUUCAAGUUUUCCUGUAAAACGUAUACAUGUGUUGUAUGGUUUAUAUCUCCUGGUGAGCUAUGAGCUCUGAGCCACCAGCGGAACAACUAUUCAUCAAGGUAUUGUGUAAUUGUGUCUGGAACACUGAGUUUCCAAUUCACGUUUUUGUUUGAAUUUGAUAAAAUAAGAAUUGUUCAUAAAAGCUAUUAGAGAAAUGAAAAUUGGAUACGCCCUUUCAAAUAAAAACUACCGCACUUGCGUGGAGGAUACAAUGUAAGCUCACUAAUUAUGUUUUCAAAUGAAUGCAUGCAGAAUGCAGCGAAUGUUAUAAAUCGAUAUAGGCUACAUUUGACCAACUUCCUUGCAAUUGCAUUGAUAAUCGGUAAGAAACUUUAGAAACAAAAGUUUAAAGCACACUCGAGUGCCAGUGGUAACCGAUGGAGGCACAAUUCCAUUUUGCAAAACAAGAAGUUACCAAAUGUAUAUGAAUACAUAUUUAUUUUCAAAUAAGCUGAGUAAUUUCCCAUAUUUCUAAAUGGAACCCCAGCCUUGUGAUGUCGUAUGAAGCAGUAGACACAUUUUACAGUGUGGCAUUACGUUUUAUAUGCAGUCAAAAGCUUUGGUUGAUGCAGAGUGAAUUCCAAACAUGUUGGGGAAUGAAUUCAAAUUAACUGCAGGUGUUCAACGCUGUUCCAUCGCUUCUAGUUGUUCAACACAAACGCAAUGUGGAUCCCCCUUGAAGUCUCAAUUUGUGCAUAUGGUAUCCGCAGGGUGUAUGUGAUAGAAGCAGCCCAGUAUCUGUCCAACAUAUUUGCACAGCGCAUAGCAACAGUGCAGGUCAACGAGACUGCACUCCAUAAUUGCAUUACAGAAGGGGCCUGGAAAAUACAUGUGAAAGGGGGGAAAGAGAUGACGGUACAACCAUCACUUGACGGUAUGCUGCAUAAUAUAAGAGGUGAUGUACACUGUUGGACAUUCAAAAGGAAAUCAAGCGAUGAUUGGCAGCACGUGGGCGGUUGUGAUAUAUUUAUUUCACUGCGUAUCAUUCAGAAGGGUGAAAAAAACAUGAUGUGCUGGCAUUAAUCAUGUUUGAUGAUUAAUUAAUAUGUUGAAAUUCUAGUUAUUGUACAUAAUGUGUCCGUGUAAAGUGAAAUAUGCUGUGUUGAUAUAUAAACAGCAAUACAACCGUUGAAAUUC